UUUUGAUUGCAAAUCCAAUAGCCAUGUCUAUGGAGCAGGGUCUGCCGAACGAUGACAGAGCCUUGUGUGUGCAUCUCAUUCGGAUGACAGAUAAUAAUGGUGUUUUCCCGCUCAUAAAUAAGCUUCAUGUCUUUAGAACAGUGCAUGGAAGUUCACAGUCAUCUAAAUGAGACUAAUUACAUUUUAGCUAGGUCCAUUAUAAUCACAAGAUCUAAUUUAUCUGGAAAUUCAUCAAGUCUUUCCGUGUUGUUGCUCUGGUUUGUGGGUUAAUAAUCCCAAGAACAGUGCAGGCGUGGAAUAGCAAGCGGCCAGCUGCCCAGUGAGGCCCUCAUUACCGCUGGUAUCAUAACUUCCGACACAAUCUGAACAAUAAAGCAGCGGGAAGGUGCUGUCUAUCGAAUGACAUCAUGGCCCAUGGGAGCAGCCUGGGAAGGUGGAGGGACACCUCACGGGCGCAAGGGACCCAAAGCUCCCCUCGCUCGGCGGAACGGCUGCGGAUCCGGCUGCCGUGUUCAGCUCAGCCAAGGAAUGACUUUGGCAGAAUGCCCUGCUUGGAGAAACGGUGAGGAAGCCAGUGAGGCCCCCGGCUCCCCCGUUCCUUCUGCCGAUUAACCUACGGCUGCCUCCCGUGGAGGCGGGAAGAUGGCAGACGGGGUGGAAAGCAGGCGACAGCACAGAGGA